rnacentral:tRNA from 1 species
AGGGGUGUAUGCAAGUGGUUAAAGCGGCUAGAUUUUGGCUCUAGUGCCUUCGGGCUUCGAGAGGUUCGAAUCCUUCCACCCCUACCA